GGGUCAGUAGGUUGGUCGUGCCACCGGUACGUACUGGUCUCACUGAUUCCUCCUUCCUGAAGAGCCGUAAUGCCAUUAAUUUGGUGUUGCGGGGAAACAGGACUGUUACUUUGAAAAAAUUAGAGUGUUUAAAGCAAGCUAACGCUUGAAUACAUUAGCAUGGAAUAAUGAAAUAGGACGAUCGAUCCUAUUUUGUUGGUUCCUAGGAUUGACGUA
rnacentral:rRNA from 1 species